GUCUUUCCCCCAUUUUUUCAUUUCCUUUCAGGUUUGCAAAGCCCUAAGUUUCGAAACAACACACUCUCUCUCUCUCUCUCUCUCACUCUCACGGAGGCGAGCGACGAGCGGCGAAUUUUGGUUUGGACGAGCGACCAGCAGGACCAUGAUUCUCGACAAGGGUCAGCUUCUCGAGACCGAGCAAAUGUUCCGCGACGCCGGUGAGCAGUGACCUGUUAUUAUCCCUGAGGAGGAGAUCCGCCAAGCAGCCCUUGGUACUAAGUGUCAUCUCUUCAGCAGUUUAUCUUCAACUUCUGAGAUUUACUUAAGUUCAAUUUUGAUCUUUCUAGAGAAGCCGACUCUAGCAGCUCCAGGUUUUGCUUACAGGGAUAUUGUCACUAGUCAAUACCUUCACACCUUCUUAUCUCUUCUAUAAAUAUUUCCUAAUUAUUAAGUGUUUUCUCAAUCAUUCUCUUUUAUUUUUCUCUAUCUCAGAGCUUAUAGGCUUGAUGGAUGUACAGGGUUCCAUCUUGUUUUGAAACAAAACCUUCAGAAGGUCACACUAAAAUAGAACCUGAUGUUGUCCAUGGUCAAAGGAAAGGAUAUCUUAGUUUUCUUCUAAAUUUAUAGCUACCAUUCCAGUUUCCCAUCCCAUAUUGGCAGAAUCUACACCCUGUAUAUAACUUCUUUGAUGAUUUGUUUUUUGUCUAGAUUAAAAUAAAUUUGUAUGUAUUUGUCUUUAGUUUUUGAUAAGUUCACUGGAAUUUGGUUGUUAAAUUUUAAAAAAUAUUGAUUGGAUGUUGUUAUGGACAAACACAAUAAUGGUGAUGCUCCAAGGUCUAAAAAUAUGGGUUCCAUUCAUAAGGUCUAAGUUGCAGAAGAGCUUCUUUUAUCUCUACCGAAUAAUUGUGCUACUAACUCCUUGUACUAAACUGUUUUAUUGCUGGCUACCUUUUGAACUCUUUAUCUCAAACUAUGUACUUUCUUGAUUGAUAUACUUCCUUUUUGAGGUAUGGACAUCAUGGCUGUUGCUUUUGUUUUUAGGUUUCGAGUCACUAUACCUUAAGCCAAUGGUUUUCAUUAUAUGAUAUGUUAGGAAAUUCUCAUUCACGGGCAACUUUUAAUUAAGUAGGAUGUUCCAAGAGCUGGAGUAAAAGAAAAUUUAUUUAAGUGGAGCACAUUGAAUCUGAGGGUAAUGUCGAUUCCCUCAUUAGCUUUGUACAGGCUGGGAACUUGAAGGGGAAAAUAACUAGGUGCGGUUGAAAAUAUAAAUGCUGAUUUUUUUUUCCUUAUUGUGAUAAAUGUAUCAACGUGUGUCUUAUAUUUAGCCUAUCACUUUGAUUGCCUAAUCAUUUUAAUGUUUUUGAUAAAAAUUUGUGUUAUCCCUUUGGUUGGCUGUAGGUCAACCGAAUUCUUCAAGAUGUUCAAUUUAAAGACCGGAAGUGGUUUAAGCAAUUUGUUUCCCAAAAGUGAACUUUAUUAAUUAUCAUUUUAAUGUCUUGCAGUCUUUGUGAAAAUUGUCAUCAAAAGUGAACUUUAUUAAUUAUUUAAUUAAUCUAUUCCAUGAGUUGUUUUAUUUUCAGGAGCGAUUAAGAGGCAGUGGUGAUGAUAUUGUAGCCGCAAGGAUGGGUGCAAAGUUAAAUGUUGCAGGGUGGAUUUCUAAACAAAUAGGUGGCGUUAGAACAUGAUAAUGCGGCAUGUGAAUCACUCUGCUAGUGAUCUGAUUGAUCUCUUGCAAGGGCUUCUGUGAUAUGACCGAGCAGAGCAGCUCAAAGCAAAGGAAGCUCUUAGACAUCCCUACCUGAGAAGGUUACUGGUUGGGUGGUUGAAUACCAAGAUAAUCUGGUAAGCCGUGGUGUUGAUGAGUCCUUAGCUCAAGUUUGUUCCAAGAGUGGUGCAAUGGAUCCCCUUAUGAAUGCAUAUGUUGAAAGAAUGCAAGCUACAACAAGGAAAUGGUACUUGAAUAUCCUUGAAGCUGAAAAGGUACAACCACCAAAGAAAACAGAUGAUGAGAGGCUAUAUACACCUGUUGCUGUUGAUUUGUUUAGGAUCCUUGGCGAGCAAGUGCAAAUUGCUCAUGAAAAUAACAUCGAUAUCAUGCUGUACAGAACUGCUUUGUCCAUUAAUCAGAUGGAUGAACUCGUGCAUGAAGGUAAAUAGCAUAGGACUAAUUGGCGCUAUAAGCAUUUUUGGAAGUAUUAUACAUUUUUUGAUAGAUGUGUAUGGAAAAUAUUUCGAUAAACUAGUAGUUAUAUUUUUGGAUGGGUGUAUAUGGAAAAUAUUUGGGUAAACUAGUUAUAUUUUUUGAUAGAUGCACAUUGAUAAAAAUUUAAAUUGUAGGAAUAUGUACUUUGGAAUUACUUGUGGAUGUAAACUUAUAAUAGUGGUUAACUUUUAUUAAACAAGUUUAGGAUUGGAUGAUUUAUGUAUUUCGUUGAAUGUUCAUGAUUCAGAUACUUUGUUGGUAUGAA